CCCUCAGGUGCUAAUACUAUUUAUAUAAAAUACUGAAGGGAUGACAAGUAUGAGUGUUUUCAAACAUGCCACUCUGGCAUACAGGAUAGUGGUUGUGAAAAGAGUUCUGGAGUUGAGCUACCCCAAUUUCAAACCACACUGCUUCUACCACUUACUAGCAGGGCAACUCUGGGCAAAAUACGUAAUCUCUCUGAAUUUGCCUUUCGUAAUCGGAGGCCAUAGGGGGUGGAUCAUUUGAGGUCAGGAGUUCAACACCAGUCUGGCCAACAUGGUGAAACCCCGUCUCUACUAAAACUACAAAAAUUAGGCAGGCAUGGUGGCGGGCAUCUGUAAUCCCAGCUACUUGGGAGGCUGAGGCAAACAAAAAAAGGUAUGCAUACAGUUAUGUGUCACUUAACCACAGGAUAUGUUCAAAAAAUGCAUUGCUAGGCCAUUUCAUUGUUGUGUAAACACCAGAGAGUGCACUUACACAAGCCUAGAUAGUAUAGCCUACUACACACCUAGGAUAUGGUAUACCCUACUUCUCCUAGGCUGCAAACCUGUACCGCAUGUUACUAUACUGAAUACUGUAAGCAAUUGUAACACAGUGGUAUUUGUGUGUCUAAACAUAACUAAACAUAGAAAAUGUACAUUAAAAACAUGACAUAAAGGAUUUUUUAAAUGGUACACCUGUAUAGGGCACUUACCACAAAUGGAGCUUGGAGGACUGGAAGUUGCUCUGGGUGAGUCAGUAAGUGGUGAGUGAAUGUGAAGGCCUAGAACAUUACUAAACAUAACUGUAGACUGUAUAAACACUGUACACUUAAGCUACACUAAACGUAUUUUAAAAAUAUUUUUCUUUCUUCAAUAAUAAAUUAACCUUAGCUCACUGUAACUGUUUCAUUUUAUAAACUUUUAAAUUUUUUCAACAUUUUGACUUUUAUACUAACACUUAGCUUAAACACAAACACGUUGUACAGCGGCACAAAAAUAUUUCCUUUCUUCCUACCUUUAGUAUGUAAGUUUUUUUUCUAUUUUAAAAAAAAUUAACUCAUUUCUUUUACUUUUUAAACUUUUUUCUUAAAGACUAAGUCACAAAGAAACAUCUUAGCCUAGGCCUAAAAAGGAUCAGGAUCACCAAUAUCAUUUUCUUCCACCUCCACAUCCUGUCCCACUAAAUAACAUGCAUGAAGCUGUCAUCUCCUAUGACAACAAUGCCUUCUUCUGGAAUACCUCCUGAAGGACCUGCCUGAGGCUGUUUUACAGUUAACUUAAAAAUAAAUAAAUAAAAAAAGGAUAGUAAAUACAUAAACUAGUAAGAUAGUCAUUUUUUCUUAUCAAGGAUGAUGUACUGUACAUAACUGUAUGUGCUAUACUUUUAUACACCUGGCAGCAUGGUAGGUUUGUUUACACCAGCAUCACCACAAAUACACGAGUACUGCGUUGCACUAUGACCUUAUGAUGGCGACAGGAAUUUUUCAGCUCCAUUAUAAUCUUAUGGGACCAUGAUUGUAUAUGUAGUCCAUCAUUGGUCAAAAUGUCCUUAUGCAGCACAUGACUGUAAUUUUAUGGUACCUUUUAUCCUGAGGAGUUCAUUAAGUGUAGGAUCAAGGGUCCUGUUAAUCAAGAGGUCUGGUUCUUCAAGAGCACUGUUACAGUUAUUUACAACACUGCUGUCAUUGUUAAUGGGCUAAAAAUGCUAACAAUUUUAGAACAUUCAAAUAAAUUAACUACAAAAAUUAAAGGGUAUAAUCAUUAAUUUUCCUUGAUCCUUCUGAACAUUAGUUUUUAGAAACAAAUUAUAGUUUGAGUAAAAUUAGCACAAGCAUGGAUCUGAAUUUUUUCAAGAAAAGAUAAGAGGAAAUAACUUCCUUUCCAGCAAGCCCCCAUGCUCACACCACACACGUACCCCAUACAUGCUGAAACUUCUAAAACUGAAGAGUCUGGAAUCUAUAUGCUAGUAGAAACACAAGCAAAACAAUUGCGUAGGAAAUACUAGCACAAUAACAUAAAAAUAGCACUGAUAUUCUACUAAAUGGAGAACACUUGUAAACUAUAGCAUAGCAAAUGUUUACAGUUUUCAACAUAGUUCAUUAUUAAUUUCAUUAGCCAACGUGGUCAAGAAGUUAUGUAUCUGUCCAUUUUUUUGUUUAUUUGUAUAGUUAUUACUGUUUAAGAUACGAGUUAAUACAGUGAAAUCAUUAGGUAAAAUAGAGAAAUCAUUAGGCAAUUCUCUCUAUUCUCCUGGUCAGAGAAUUUCUGGCUAAAUGCAUGAAUUUGGAAUAAAAUAGACUUAAACAUAGUCAUUAUAGCUAUUCAAAUAUUACUGUCCAUAGACACAUGAGUUAAACUAAAACAUAUAACAGGUAUUACUUAGAAUAUCACCCAAGGGAACAGGCACAAAACUUCAGGUUUUUCAGUUAUCCACUGCCCCAAGAAUUUAGAAAAUACAAAGGCACUUUAGGACUAUUAUAUCUAAUCCUGACUGGUUACUUCUGAGUGGUGAGAUUAUAGGUGCACUUUUUUCUUUUUACUUUUCUGACUUUCCCAGUCUUCUAGAAAGAAAGUACUGUAUUCUUUUCAUAACUAGGGACUAAAUUCCUCCAUUUAAGGAAAUUACGUGAAGGGUCUAAGUUAUUCGAAUAUUAUAGUAAGGCCAUUUAAAAACUUUUUCCUUGAAGAGGUUGAAUCAUACUGUCCCUCGGUCUUGGGUAAUCCUCAUUUUAUUCAUUAAAAAAUAACGUAAGAAAUAAAUUAUACCAAUUUAAAAAACUGAAUAUUUACCAAAAUUUUACUUGAAGAAAAACUGAAUGAAGUCCAUAACAUCCUCCAAUGUAGUAAAAAAAAUUUCAAAAGUUCUUUAUCAAAUCCAUAGUGAAGAAAAAAUGAAAGGUAAAGAAGUGACUGUCUCUCACCUAUCCAUGUUAUCAGUUUAGGUCAACAUUCAGAUUCCUUUUCUAUUCCCCAACCAAAAUUCAGAACCACACAUACAGAGGUCCCUUUUGGUUUUGAAUUAAUAUUUCAAGUUUAAUGUCAACUUUAUUAAAUUAAUAUGGAGGCCAUCUCAUUCUCAGAUUAUGCUGAAGUUUUCAAAUUUAUGGUAAGCAAUUAUCAGUAAGUCAUCCACAACUUUUAUACUUGUACUUUACCUCCCUCUCUGAUUAAUAAAAUUCAUUUUUCUUCUCAACAGUCAAUUUUGUGUGUGUGUGUGUGUGUGUGUGUUUACAUUUAGUCCACGGUUCACACUUUGAGGAGUAUAGAAUACCUAUGUUCUAGCUGCAGCAAUCAACACCCAACUCAAGUCCAACUAUGGUUUGGUAUCAAAUAGUGGCAUUUGCUCCUCUAGCUUAAUUAAACAAGAAGACAAUGCUGGGUCAUGGCUAACUGGCACUCCUGGGAUAGCUGCAGUAAUUUAAUGGCCUCAUAUACAAUUGAUCUUUGCUUUGUCAACCAAUCUGGGGACACUGAAAAGAGAAAAUAUUAGGAUCUUGU
rnacentral:lncRNA from 1 species